GAUGAAGAACGUAGCGAAAUGCGAUAAGUAAUGCGAAUUGCAGAAUUCAGUGAAUCAUCGAAUCUUUGAACGCAUAUUGCGCUCUCUGGUAUUCCGGAGAGCAUGCUUGUUUGAGUAUCAGUAAACACCUCAACUUCCAUAUCUUUUUUGAAAUGGGAGCUGGACUUGAGUGAUCCCAACGCUUUUCCUCACCGAAAAGUGGCGGGUUACUUGAAAUGCAGGUGCAGCUGGACUUUUCUCUGAGCUAUAAGCAUAUCUAUUUAGUCUGCCUCAAAAACAGAUUAUUACCUUUGCUGCAGCUAACAUAAAGGAGAUUAGUUCUUGUGCUGACUGAUGCAGGAUUCACAAAGACAGCUUCGGCCGACUUUGUAAACUCGAUCUCAAAUCAAGUAAGACUACCCGCUGAACUUAAGCAUAUCAAUAAGCGGAGGA
rnacentral:misc_RNA from 1 species